rnacentral:rRNA from 1 species
UACGUAGGUGGCAAGCGUUGUCCGGAUUUACUGGGCGUAAAGAGCGCGCAGGCGGUCGUUCAAGUCGCGUGUGGAAGCCCCCGGCUCAACUGGGGAGGGUCACGCGAUACUGAUCGACUGGAAGGCAGGAGAGGGUAGUGGAAUUCCCGGUGUAGUGGUGAAAUGCGUAGAUAUCGGGAGGAACACCAGUGGCGAAGGCGACUACCUGGCCUGUUCUGACGCUGAGGCGCGAAAGCUGAGGGAGCAAACGGG